CGGGACGGGUGAGUAAUGUCUGGGAAACGUGCCUGAUGGAGGGGGAUAACUACUGGAAACGGUAGCUAAUACCGCAUAACGUCGCAAGACCAAAGAGGGGGACCUUCGGGCCUCUUGCCAUCGGAUGUGCCCAGAUGGGAUUAGCUAGUAGGUGGGGUAACGGCUCACCUAGGCGACGAUCCCUAGCUGGUCUGAGAGGAUGCCAGCCACACUGGAACUGAGACACGGUCCAG
rnacentral:rRNA from 1 species